rnacentral:rRNA from 1 species
UACGUAGGGGGCAAGCGUUGUCCGGAUUUAUUGGGCGUAAAGAGCGUGUAGGCGGCUAGAUAGGUCCGUUGUGAAAACUCGAGGCUCAACCUCGAGACGUCGAUGGAAACCAUCUGGCUAGAGUCCGGAAGAGGAGAGUGGAAUUCCUGGUGUAGCGGUGAAAUGCGCAGAUAUCGGGAGGAACACCAAUUGCGAAGGCAGCUCGCGUGGACGUCACUGACGCUAAGACGCGAAAGCGUGGGGAGCAAACAGG